ensembl:lncRNA novel transcript
GGGAGAUAGUUUCGCGGGUUCGGGAGGCGAGUCUCCGGUUUCCGCCCAGUCUCUGGGGACGCGGUGGCGGGGUCUGAAUCGCCUGGCUUCCAGGGAGUUUUGGGCGGGUCCCCGCACGGGAGCGUGGCAGGCGCUGGACUCGACAGCAGAUGUGGAACUGGAGAGCUUGGCGCGCCCUCAUACUUUGUCACACACCUACGCCACCAGACUGGGGUCGGGCCCCUCCGCGUUCUGCUCUGGAGGGCCUGGGUCUGGGCCCAGCAUAGCGCUUUUAGAAUCUCCUCAGCUGAAUCUGACGCUCAGCCGUAGGUGAAGCUUAGCCCGCUGUUUCAGGCCCCGCCGAUCUGGAAGGAGUGUCAGAGCUGGAGCGCGCGUGGCCUCAUCGGUGUUGGGGUCACCCCGGGGUUGCCAGGGCUCAUGGAGGGUCGUAGUCUGGAUUUUGUCACCCCCACGUCCCCGCCCCGCAGCAAGUCUGGGGUUGGAGAACUCACGCGGUCUUCGUAAGCUACAUGCCAGUUGACCCUCGAGGAGGGAUGCUCCCUCCCCUUAAGCGUCCACGCUGGAGAAGGAGGUAAGAGUGAAGCUAUCCUGGACAAGAACUUUGACAGGACAAUACUAUUCACUCUGAAGGACCAAAAAAUGAGCAGAAAAUUUGGGAUAAAUGUCAACAAGAUUUGAACCCUAAAGAAAAGCAAGCAUCGAGUUAGACAGACGUCCAUAUUCAUUCAACUGGGAAAAUAAAACUGCAGUCCCAACAUCAGAAUUUCCUUGGUCAGUUGGUUAUUGCGGGACAGCAUUCUUCUGCAUGACAGUAUUGUCUCCUUACCAGCCACAGAGGAGGCUGUGAGAGAGAGGAUUUGGGAAAUUGGUGCAAAUGAGAAAUCUUGGAAAUCUAGAACUAAAGCCUUUCAGCAGGAAAUCCAGAUGCUCACUAAGUGACUAGAGCAGCUGCAUCAUCUUUAAGAAGAAGGUGCUCAAGAAUCAUCCCAAGCUGAAGAAAAAAGUAUUGGGAACAAAAAAGACCCUUGAAAUGUCUAGAAAGAAAAAUUGAGAUCAAGGACUUUUUCAAGAGAGAUUAGACUUGGACAGGAAGAAAAUGGAGUCUCACUCUGUCACCCAGGGUGGAGUGCAAUGGUGUGAUCUCGGCUCACUGCAACCUCCGCCUCCCAGGUUCAAGCGAUUUUCCUGCCUCAGCCUCCCAAGUAGCUGGGAUUACAGAAUUUGCAGAUUGCUACUACGCAAAGAUUGGAGGAGAAAAUUCAGAAACUUCAGAGACAGCUCAGUGAUUUGAAAUUGUCAAAUAAAAAUAUGAAAACUCAGCUGACAAGAGUAAAUGUCCUUAAAGACAAAACAAUUGAAGAGCUCAGGCAAUCUUUAGCAAAUGUUGAAAGGAUGAAAGAGAAGGCAAAUGUUGAAACGAUGAAAGAGAAGGCAGUUGUGAAAACAGAAAACUUGAAAACUACAUUAGACUCUGCAGAGCAAAAGGCAAGAUCAGACAAAGAGAAGACCCAGCAGAUGUUAGAUGCUGUCACUUCUGAGCCCCCAACAGCAAAGAGCGCACCUGAAGAAGUAUCAGGACAAGAACAAGAGGCCUAUCCAGAGAUUCCAGUUCAGUUUGUGGUAUGAGGCUGAAGUAUGGAUAUUUUUUUCAAAGCUCCUUAAGUAUAUAAAUUGAUAAAAUUACUUUGGAAGA